rnacentral:rRNA from 1 species
UAAAGCGUGCGCAGGCGGCUUUGCAAGACAGAUGUGAAAUCCCCGGGCUCAACCUGGGAACUGCAUUUGUGACUGCAAGGCUAGAGUACGGUAGAGGGGGAUGGAAUUCCGCGUGUAGCAGUGAAAUGCGUAGAUAUGCGGAGGAACACCAAUGGCGAAGGCAAUCCCCUGGACCUGUACUGACGCUCAUGCACGAAAGCGUGGGGAGCAAACAGGAUUAGAUACCCUGU